rnacentral:rRNA from 1 species
UGCAGGCUGCAACCCGCCCUGCAUGAAGUCGGAAUUGCUAGUAAUCGCGGAUCAGCAUGCCGCGGUGAAUACGUUCCCGGGCCUUGUACACACCGCCCGUCACACCAUGGGAGCCGGUAAUACCCGAAGUCAGUAGUCCAACCACGUGAGGACGCUGCCGAAGGUAGGAUUGGCGACUGGGGUGAAGUCGUAACAAGGUAUC